CACUGGAUAGCUCAGUCGGGUAGAGCAACGGAUUUGGAAUCCGUGUGUCGUGGGUUCGACUCCCACUCCACAAA
rnacentral:tRNA from 2 species